rnacentral:misc_RNA from 1 species
GCCAGGAUAGGAACUCAA